rnacentral:rRNA from 1 species
UGUCUGAUCUCGGAAGCUAAGCAGGGUCGGGCCUUAUUAGUACUUGUAUGGGAGACCACCUAGGAAAAUCAAGUGCUAUAGGCA